rnacentral:rRNA from 1 species
UACGUAGGGUGCGAGCGUUAAUCGGAUUUACUGGGUUUAAAGGGUGUGUAGGCGGAUUAUUAAGUCAGCGGUGAAAUCUCCGAGCUCAACUCGGAAACUGCCAUUGAUACUAUUAGUCUUGAAUAUUGUUGAGGUGGGCGGAACGGGUCAUGUAGCGGUGAAAUGCAUAGAUAUGACCCGGAACACCGAUUGCGAAGGCAGCCCACUAAGCAAUGAUUGACGCUGAGGCACGAAAGCGUGGGGAUCAAACAGG